rnacentral:rRNA from 1 species
GAUGAACGCUGGCGGCGUGCUUAACACAUGCCAGUCGAGCGGACAGACGAGGCGCUUGCUCGUUGCUCGAUAGGGGAGCACGUGUGUAUCACAUGAGUAAAAUGCCCCUGACUGACGGGUAUAUUCUGGAGACAGCGGAGCUUACCGCGGAGAAUAUACUGCAGCACGUGGGUCAAUGGUAAGUGACGGCUGUGGUGUCUCUUAUCGCGGCGUCUUAGCUAGUUGGUCAGGUAGUUACUUACCAAGGUUACGAUGGGAAGCCGACCUGAGAGGGUGAUCGGCCACACUGGAACGGAGACACGGUCCAGGCUCCUACGGGAGGCAGCAGUAGGGAAUCUUCCGCAAUGGGCGAAAGCCUGACGGAGCAACGCCGCGUGAGUGAUGACGGUCUUCGGAGCGUAAAACUCUGUAAUGAGGGAAGAACAAAUGUGUAAGUAACUAUGCACGUCUUGACGGUACCUAAUCAGAAAGCCACGGCUAACUACGUG